AAGCAUUGUUUUGUUAGUUUUUUUUACAAAAUUAUUAAUUUUAAAGCUUAAAUUUACUAUAAAAUUGUGUAAAAUUUUUAAGAAUAUUUUCUGUUAACAUUUAUUAGAACAUUUAAGCGCUCUGGCUGAACAAUUUACAUAUUUCCAAUAAGCAGAAUUUGUCAUGUCCUGGCACCUGUAGUUUUCAAGGAAUAACUUACGAUAUUUUGUAAAAGUAUUAAAGAAUAAACAUAACUUAAGAAAAGAAAACAAAAAAAAUUAAAAAAAAAAACUAAAA